rnacentral:rRNA from 1 species
AACGAACGCUGGCGGCAUGCCUAACACAUGCAAGUCGAACGAGACCUUCGGGUCUAGUGGCGCACGGGUGCGUAACGCGUGGGAAUCUGCCCUUCGGUUCGGAAUAACAGUUAGAAAUGACUGCUAAUACUGGAUGACGACGAAAGUCCAAAGAUUUAUCGCCGAGGGAUGAGCCCGCGUAGGAUUAGGUAGUUGGUGGGGUAAUGGCCUACCAAGCCGACGAUCCUUAGCUGGUCUGAGAGGAUGAUCAGCCACACUGGGACUGAGACACGGCCCAGACUCCUACGGGAGGCAGCAGUGGGGAAUAUUGGACAAUGGGCGAAAGCCUGAUCCGGCAAUGCCGCGUGAGUGAUGAAGGCCUUAGGGUUGUAAAGCUCUUUUACCCGGGACUGAUAAUGACAGUACCGGGAGAAUAAGCUCCGGCUAACUCCGUGCCAGCAGCCGCGGU